CCUACGGGUGGCAGCAGUGAGGAAUAUUGGUCAAUGGCCGUAAGGCUGAACCAGCCAAGUCGCGUGAAGGAAGAAGGAUCUAUGGUUUGUAAACUUCUUUUAUAGGGGAAUAAAGGUAUCCACGUGUGGAUAUUUGCAUGUACCCUAUGAAUAAGCAUCGGCUAACUCCGUGCCAGCAGCCGCGGUAAUACGGAGGAUGCGAGCGUUAUCCGGAUUUAUUGGGUUUAAAGGGUGCGUAGGUUGUUUUUUAAGUCAGCUGUGAAAUUUUGCGGCUCAACCCCGAACGUGCGAUGGAGAUUGGAAGUCAUGAGAACAGGUGAGGUAGGCGGAAUGAGUGGUG
rnacentral:rRNA from 1 species